UACAGAGGUCCCGAGCGUUGUUCGGAUUCACUGGGCGUAAAGGGUGCGUAGGCGGGUCUUUAAGUCAGGGGUGAAAUCCUGGAGCUCAACUCCAGAACUGCCUUUAAUACUGCCAGUCUCGAGUCCGGAAGAGGUAAGUGGAACUCCUAGUGUAGAGGUGGAAUUCGUAGAUAUUAGGAAGAACACCAGUGGCGAAGGCGGCUUACUGGUCCGGUACUGACGCUGAGGUGCGAAAGCGUGGGGAGCAAACAGG
rnacentral:rRNA from 1 species